CCUCAGCAAUUUAGGGAUACACUAUCUCAAAAUAAAUAAAUAAAAAGAGCCGGGGAUAUAGCUCAUAAAGUGCCCCAGGGUUCAAUCCCGAGUGCUGCUAAUAAAAUAAAAUAUGGAUUUAAAAUAAAUAAUAAAAAGGGCUGAGGAUGUAGCUCAGUGGUACAGUACCCCUGGGUUCAAUCCCCUGAGAGGGACAGGCAGGUGUAGCCUUGAAGCUGAAGUUCCAGCUUCCCCCUCUUAGGAGCUAUUCUACCUUGGAAAAGUUAUUUAACCUCCCUCCAUUCUGAAAUAUGUCCUCAGGACCCUCCAUUGGCUCCCCUUCUCACUAAGGGUAAAAGCAAAAUCUUUUUUGCCCCUAGUAUUUCCCCUUUUCCUCCUCUAAAAGUCUUUAUAAUGACUUAAAAGCCCUCUGUCCUCUGGCCUUCUGCUACUUCUCUGACCUUAUCCUCUACUACUCUGCCUUCUACACUGUCUACAUAGGCUACCACCCAGGCCUUUGCACACUGUUAACUGCAAGUUUUUUUUUUUUUCCCAAAAUACCAACAUAAUUCUCUCCCUCACCUUUUCCAGUUUUCUGUUCAAAUGUCGACUUAUCAGAGCCAUCUUUGGCCAUGCUGUUUAAAACAGCAGCAUGACUACUUCUACCACAGUAUAUCUAUCUGCUCUUCUUCCAACUCUAUUCUCCUUUGAUACUUUUUCUCCGUACUUAACACCCUCUAGAAUACUAUAUGUUUUACUAUCUCUUCUCCCUACAGAUUUUUAUCUGGUUGUUUUUUUUUAAAUUUUAUUUAUUUAUUUAUUUAUGGUGCUGGGGAUUGAACGCAGGGCCUUGUGCAUGCAAGGCAAGCACUCUUCCAACUGAGCUAUAACCCUUGUCCUUUAUCUGUUUACCUGUUUCCAAUACUUAAAACAGUCAUUGCUAUGUAAUAAAUAUUCCAAAAUUUUCUAUGAAUACAUGAAUAAAUAAAUCAAUCCAUGAAAGUAUUGUACAAAGUAUUGGCACAUGUUGACUGUUAACAUUUAUCAAACAGUUACUAUGUACCUAAGCUCUGUUUUAAGAAGGGUGCUGGGUGCCAUGGCGUAUACCUAUAAUCCCAGCAGCUCCGGAGGCUGAGGCAGGAGGAUUGUUAAUUCAAAGCCAGCUUCAGCAAUUUAGUGUCGUACUGAGCAAUUCAGGGAGACCCUGUCUCUAAAUAAAACACAAAAUAGGGCUGGGGAUGUGGCUCAGUGGUUGAGUGCCCCUGAGUUCCAUACCCGAUACAAAAAAAAAAAGUCCUGGUUGGACUGGGGAUGUGGGUCGGGGUAGAGCACUUGCCUAGCAUGCUUACAGCCCUGGGUUCCAUCCCAGCACUGAAAUGGAAAAAAAAAAAAGUUCUGGGACAACUGCUAUAGAUGAAAUAUUUUACUUAAUUGUCCCAACAACCUUUAAGGUGGAUAUGAUUAUUAUCUCCCAGAGUUGGGGAAGGUAGUUCACAUCUCCAGAGUCCCAUAGUAAGAGGUAAAAUAGGAUCUGGGACCCAGAUCUUUCUAAUUCCAUGCUCACAAGGUUUCUGAGAAAAUUAAAUGAGUCUAGCUGCCUGCACAAUGAUUAGUAAAUAUUGUUAAUAUUAAUGCUUGGAGAGUAUAGUGUACAGGGUCAGAGAUUAUAUCCAGAGAAAUACUUUCUUAGGAUAAAACAGCUGAGUUAUAUCUUACAAGCUGAAAAGUGUCUUCACCACUAGGUGUCAAACUACUGGAGAGUAAAAAGAGGUUAUUGUUCCCAGGCUUUCAUUCAGAAAUACUAUUAUUAAAAAACUCAUGACUUCUCCAAGGUCACUCAGUUAGUGAGGGCAUUGGGCACUGACUGCCCUCCAUCUUAUUGCUGAGCAUCAGCUCCUUGAACUCAUGACAACAAGUUUCUAAUUUCUUGGUGUUCUUUUCUUUGGAUAUGGAGGUUGUCCUGGAUAAAGAUAAUGGAUAUAAUAGUAUGACCUUUUAUUUUUGCUUUCUGUUUCACAGGGCAGAGACCAGUUUUCUACCAUUAUCAUAUUGUAUUUUUCUCAGAAGCAUCUAAUAGAGACCAAAAACAAGAUUAUAUUAUUUUGGAUUAUCUUUUUUUAUUGUAGUGCCUAAUCAAAAUAUUUAUGGAAUAUUUACGGUUGUCCUGGCCCCUCAGAGCUGUGAAGCUUAGGUGGGAAAAGUCCUAACGAGAAAUUGCCUGUGGAAGACUGGAGGGGUAAAAGUGAACACAAUCCAUCUCUAGGACAUGCUUCCGAUAAUGGGAAGGGAGGGCUGGCAUCUGUGUGUGAGGAACCAUGGGGGAAGUCCUGGAUCUCAGGAUAGUUGGGGAGGACACUCUGGGAGUUAUUAAAAACCAGGCUUACCAGAGGAACUUCAUUUAAAAAUUUUAUUAUGAAAAUGUUUGAAACAUACACAAAGAUAGCAUUGUUCUAUGAACCCACAUAUACUAAUUCAACAAUUAUGAAUUUUGUCACUGUUUGUGCCCUCUACUCUUUUCUUUCUGUUCUUAAUUUUCUUCUGAAAUAUUUAAAAUUAAAGAAUUUGCUUUAUUGUACAUGUCAGCAUGUGUCUCUAGGAAAUAAGGACCUUCUCUUAUAUAACUUCAGGGCCCUUUUUUUUUUUUUUUCCAGGGCCAUUUUUACAACUAGCAAAAUUAGCACUGAUUCUUUGGCAUCAUAAAUACCCAGUCCACAAUUAAAUGUUCCCAACUGUCUGAAAAUAUCUUUUUAUAGUUGGUUCUACAAAUCACGAACUGAAAGAAGUCCACAUGUUCUGUGUAAGUAGUUGGUCUUAUGUGUGUGUGUGUGUGUGUGUGUGUGUGUGUGUGUGUGUGUGUUGCUGGGGAUUAACCCAGAACAUCACACACACACUAGGCAAAGCCUCUACCACUACAAGCUACACCCUCAGCCCUAUAGUUGUCUUUUUAAAACCCUUCUAACUCUCCCCCCUUAAGCCAUUGACUACUUGAGGAAACU
rnacentral:lncRNA from 1 species